AAAGCGAAGGCAGCUUACUGGACGAUAACUGACACUGAGGAACGAAAGCGUGGGGAGCAAACAGGAUUAGAUACCCUGGUAGUCCACGCCGUAAACGUUGUCAACUUGAUGUGGGGAGCCUCACGGCUUUCCGUGUCAAAGCUAACGCGAUAAGUUGACCGCCUGGGGACUACGGCCGCAAGGCUAAAACUCAAAGGAAUUGACGGGGACCCGCACAAGCGGUGGAGCAUGUGGCUUAAUUCGAGGCAACGCGAAGAACCUUACCUGGGCUUGAAAUCAUAUUGACGGUUUAUGAAAGUAAAUUUUCCGCAAGGACAGUAUGACAGGUGCUGCAUGGCUGUCGUCAGCUCGUGCCGUGAGGUGUUCGGUUAAGUCCGGCAACGAGCGCAACCCGUAUCAAUAGUUACCAACAGGUAAAGCUGGGGACUCUAUUGAGACUGCCUGUGUUAAGCAGGAGGAAGGCGCGGAUGACGUCAAGUCAGUAUGGCCCUUACGUCCAGGGCUGCACACGUGCUACAAUGGCUGGUACAAUGAGAGGCGAUACCGCGAGGUGGAGCAAAUCUACAAAACCAGUCUUAGUUCGGAUUGUAGUCUGCAACUCGACUACAUGAAGCCGGAAUCGCUAGUAAAGGCGUAUCAGCUACGACGCCUUGAAUACGUUCCCGGGUCUUGUACACACCGCCCGUCACAUCAUGGGAGCUGAUUGCACCCGAAGUCGCUGCCCCGACCCAGCAAUGGGAGGGAGGCGCCUAAGGUGUGGUUAGUGACUGGGAUGAAGUCGUAACAAGGUAGCCGUAAAUCGA
rnacentral:rRNA from 1 species